CUUAAUUACUCCUGUAAGCUGCUCUGGAUAAGAGCAUCUGCUAAAUGACUAAAG
rfam:Salmo salar isolate Sally breed double haploid chromosome ssa08, whole genome shotgun sequence.